GUCGGCUACGGUGAUAUGGCGCCAAAAACCUAUAUUGGCAUGUUUGUCGGAGCAUUGUGCGCUCUAGCCGGUGUGCUAACCAUUGCACUGCCAGUACCCGUUAUUGUUAGUAAU
rfam:Drosophila willistoni strain TSC#14030-0811.24 scf2_1100000004521 genomic scaffold, whole genome shotgun sequence.